rnacentral:rRNA from 1 species
GAUGAACGCUGGCGGCGUGCCUAAUACAUGCAAGUCGAGCGAACAGACGAGGAGCUUACUCCUCUGACGUUAGCGGCGGACGGGUGAGUAACACGUGGAUAACCUACCUAUAAGACUGGGAUAACUUCGGGAAACCGGAGCUAGUACCGGAUAACAUGUUGAACCGCAUGGUUCAACAGUGAAAGACGGUCUUGCUGUCACUUAUAGAUGGAUCCGCGUCGCAUUAGCUAGUUGGUAAGGUAACGGCUUACCAAGGCAACGAUGCGUAGCCGACCUGAGAGGGUGAUCGGCCACACUGGAACUGAGACACGGUCCAGACUCCUACGGGAGGCAGCAGUAGGGAAUCUUCCGCAAUGGGCGAAAGCCUGACGGAGCAACGCCGCGUGAGUGAAGAAGGUCUUCGGAUCGUAAAACUCUGUUAUUAGGGAAGAACAAAUGUGUAAGUAACUAUGCACGUCUUGACGGUACCUAAUCAGAAAGCCACGGCUAACUACGUG